ensembl:snRNA U6 U6 spliceosomal RNA
GUGCUCUCUUCGGCAGCACAGACACUAAAAUCGGAAUGAUUAUAGCAAAGAUUAGCAUGGCCCCUGUUCAAGGAUGGCACUCACACUGGUCCAUAUUUUU